AAAUUUCCCAGAGAACUGUUUAUAUUAAAAACAGGUUGGGAGUUUUUGAACUAUCAUCGCCCCCCAUACUGGAAGAUAAACACUCUUCUUGUGAAGAUUUCUUUCAAAACCCCCCG
ensembl:misc_RNA